GGUCGAAAUGUGAAACUGCCUACUGUGCGGCGCGGCACGUGGCUUUGUUUACGUCUGUAUCUGUAUGAAUUCGCUCACCAACAGCAUCCAACAGGUCCGAUACUGCAAAAGGCUCCCAAGAAAGAGUGACGGUGGAUGAUAGUGAUAGUGAUAGUAGAUUAUACGUUCGGAUAAUCGUUCGAGUUACACUACACGCGUUACAACGCAUCGUGCCAUUGUACCUACGUCGUUUUAAUCCUUUUCGGUGCAUAUAUGUAUACAUUUGACGAGGAGAAUCACCAAAGGAGUUUGUGAAAAUGCCGUCGUCGAGAUCUGACAGUCUCUCCAGGACCACCAAGAGGAGAAAGACCACCUCCGACUUGGAUGAUUCUACUUUGAUAGAAGCUGCGAUCGCAAAUCCACAUUUGUCUAUCCCAAAAAUAAUACGCCAAUACGUCCCCAAUUAUCCUGCGUCCAGAUAUGUUGCUUAUAAUAGAAUUCGUCAACACGGACUGCAACGGCCAAGGAAGUCUAGGAAGAUAGACCGGAGCAGCCAGGAUUCUAAAACAACGCCAAAACCUUGUAAUGCCUCUUCUGACAAUUCAUUCUCAUGGUCUCCUCGUCGUUCUUCAACACCAUUAUCGAAUCACCAUGGCUCAUCUUACGGUCGCUGCAACUUAUCAAAGUCACUCAAAGUCUGCAGUAAGACUGGAAGAUCACAGUUACUCAAAGCCUCCAGUCAGACUGGAAGAUGGAAACUAUUGAGGAAAUUUAUUUCUAAAGUCAGUCUUGCGGUGUCUCUCUCUGUACGUGCUUUGAAUAAAGUUUAUUGA
rnacentral:lncRNA from 1 species